rnacentral:rRNA from 1 species
GAUGAACGCUGGCGGCGUGCCUAAUACAUGCAAGUCGAGCGAACGGACGAGAAGCUUGCUUCUCUGAUGUUAGCGGCGGACGGGUGAGUAACACGUGGAUAACCUACCUAUAAGACUGGGAUAACUUCGGGAAACCGGAGCUAAUACCGGAUAAUAUUUUGAACCGCAUGGUUCAAAAGUGAAAGACGGUCUUGCUGUCACUUAUAGAUGGAUCCGCGCUGCAUUAGCUAGUUGGUAAGGUAACGGCUUACCAAGGCAACGAUGCAUAGCCGACCUGAGAGGGUGAUCGGCCACACUGGAACUGAGACACGGUCCAGACUCCUACGGGAGGCAGCAGUAGGGAAUCUUCCGCAAUGGGCGAAAGCCUGACGGAGCAACGCCGCGUGAGUGAUGAAGGUCUUCGGAUCGUAAAACUCUGUUAUUAGGGAAGAACAUAUGUGUAAGUAACUGUGCACAUCUUGACGGUACCUAAUCAGAAAGCCACGGCUAACUACGUGCCAGCAGCCGCGGUAAUACGUAGGUGGCAAGCGUUAUCCGGAAUUAUUGGGCGUAAAGCGCGCGUAGGCGGUUUUUUAAGUCUGAUGUGAAAGCCCACGGCUCAACCGUGGAGGGUCAUUGGAAACUGGAAAACUUGAGUGCAGAAGAGGAAAGUGGAAUUCCAUGUGUAGCGGUGAAAUGCGCAGAGAUAUGGAGGAACACCAGUGGCGAAGGCGACUUUCUGGUCUGUAACUGACGCUGAUGUGCGAAAGCGUGGGGAUCAAACAGGAUUAGAUACCCUGGUAGUCCACGCCGUAAACGAUGAGUGCUAAGUGUUAGGGGGUUUCCGCCCCCUAGUGCUGCAGCUAACGCAUUAAGCACUCCGCCUGGGGAGUACGACCGCAAGGUUGAAACUCAAAGGAAUUGACGGGGACCCGCACGAGCGGUGGAGCAUGUGGUUUAAUUCGAAGCAACGCGAAGAACCUUACCAAAUCUUGACAUCCUUUGACAACUCUAGAGAUAGAGCCUUCCCCUUCGGGGGACAAAGUGACAGGUGGUGCAUGGUUGUCGUCAGCUCGUGUCGUGAGAUGUUGGGUUAAGUCCCGCAACGAGCGCAACCCUUAAGCUUAGUUGCCAUCAUUAAGUUGGGCACUCUAAGUUGACUGCCGGUGACAAACCGGAGGAAGGUGGGGAUGACGUCAAAUCAUCAUGCCCCUUAUGAUUUGGGCUACACACGUGCUACAAUGGACAAUACAAAGGGCAGCGAAACCGCGAGGUCAAGCAAAUCCCAUAAAGUUGUUCUCAGUUCGGAUUGUAGUCUGCAACUCGACUACAUGAAGCUGGAAUCGCUAGUAAUCGUAGAUCAGCAUGCUACGGUGAAUACGUUCCCGGGUCU